rnacentral:rRNA from 1 species
GACGAACGCUGGCGGCGUGCUUAACACAUGCAAGUCGAACGGAAAGGCCCUGCGUUUGUGGGGUGCUCGAUUGGCGAACGGGUGAGUAACACGUGAGUAACCUGCCCUUGUCUUUGGGAGAACUUCAGGAAACUGGGGCUAAUACCGGGUAGGAGCUCCUGCUGCAUGGUGUGGGUUGGAAAGUUUCGGCGGUGGGGGAUGGACUCGCGGCUUAUCAGCUUGUUGGUGGGGUAGUGGCUUACCAAGGCUUUGACGGGUAGCCGGCCUGAGAGGGUGACCGGCCACAUUGGGACUGAGAUACGGCCCAGACUCCUACGGGAGGCAGCAGUGGGGAAUAUUGCACAAUGGGCGGAAGCCUGAUGCAGCAACGCCGCGUGCGGGAUGACGGCCUUCGGGUUGUAAACCGCUUUCGCCUGUGACGAAGCGUGAGUGACGGUAAUGGGUAAAGAAGCACCGGCUAACUACGUG